CAGAAAUGAAAUGUCAUUUAUCUUGGGUUUUGGAUUGUGUGCUAGGACUGUUUCUUUUGUGCAUCAGAUUUUCCAUAUUCAGUAUUCUUUUUAUUACUGUUAAUUUUACAUAAAGUAACAGCAUUGCAGAAUUGUAAAACCAGAAGGCGGUCGAGGGGUUUAUUAAUCUCAUGGUUUUCAGACUGUGUACAGGGAAGAUCUGGGAUUCCAGAGAGGAGCCCUGGGCAGGAGGUGGAGGACAAGUGGACCCAGGUCUCCCAUUGUACAGAUAACAAAACCGAGUCCCAGGGAGGGGCCGAGAACUUCCAAGCUGCUGUCUUCAGGCCACACGGAGUUGAGGUCAGAGUUUUCUGCUUUCUCGAUCGCCAGCUCGUCGGCCACGGGAGGAUGGACGUUACAUUUGCAGGGAUCUUAUGGAUUUCUCUGUUAUGCUGCAGCUUGGACCAAACAGCCCUCUCUUCUUCGCCUCUAUCGAUCUAAAUGUUUCCAUAUUUGUUUCCUUGUGGAGGCAUUUACUGCAUCAGACAUUCAAGAGAUGGGGCCUGGAGAUUUACAGAGCUCUUUGUGUGUUCCGACGUACAACCGGAGCUCAGAGACAUGGAAAGACAUGGAAAGAAGUGCCCUCUGAUGUCCGAAAGGGCCACAGCAUCAUUCUGCCUCUGACCUUGCAACACUGACUUACUGUGCAUGAAACACAGCCUCCUCGUCAGCAAAACUGGGGAAGUUAUCAUCGAAGCAGCCUUCCUGGAUCAUUACGAGGACGGAAGAGCCCCCACACUGGAACAGGAGGGCAGAGUACAUCCUGUUACCGGGAGUUAAGCCAUCUUCCUCCUGGUCCAUUGCGAACACGUGCAAGUCAAGAAGAGGUCUCUCCCAUGGCUCAUCCCCAAGAAAUCAAGGGCAGGAGAGGAACCCGGGUCUUCCGGAUGUCUUCUUGACGAUGGUCAACAUCUCUUGCAAGUACAGAUGACGCCUCAUGGUGAGUUAAGGCGACGUGACGCCAGAUCCUCUUGCUAACACGCGAGGCAGGCAAUGAAAAGAGGGGCCAGAAGGAAGCAAACGCUCGUCCCGCGCAUCGGUGUCUCUUCGAUGACUUCAUUCUACUGUUGGUUCUUUGACCUGAUCAUUCGUUCACUAACCAUUCAUGGAGCGGAUACUCUCUGCCAGGCCCUGCUCUGGCUGCUUCCAGUGGCCCCAGUCCCUCCUUUUGCACACGUGUGUGUGUGGCACUUCGAAGGCUGACACAAUCGCCCUAAAGAGCCCCUCCUCUGCCAGCAGCUGGCCCAGUGCCCCAGCAUGCAGUAGGCGCUCAAACAUUGGUGGGUACGUAAGCGAUGAAUCAUCGGAAUCCACUCCCGAAGCCGGGACGACACCGUGUAUGCUGUAUGUGAGCUAACGUGACAAUAAAUUAUUUUUAAAAAUUAGAUUCAAUUGUAUCGUAUUCGGAAAAUAUCUGUCAGGUGGAAGGGAAUUGGAAUAUCGAAGUUCCCAUUUAUUCUCAAGUCUGGCUGGGCUUUGGGGAGAGGAGAGGUAGGGCCUGUUUUUAUUUGCUGUCGCUUUGGUUUGAUUUUUCACUGUAUCGGCUUCCCUGGAAGGGAAGGGGCCCCUCAGGUGAGCGGCGAGGAACCCCAGAUCAGGCCUGGCUUAUAUUCUCAUAACUUUCUCAUAUUACUGGCUCUGGAUAACCACUGCAAUAGGCCACCUCAUUGUGUAAAAGUCCCCCAAGAAUCCUGGUGGACCCUCUGACCAUCCUAACUUCCCCCACAUGAACCCCCCAAACAUAACAGCCAAGAAUU